ACGGGAGGCAGCAGUGGGGGAUAUUGCACAAUGGGGGAAACCCUGAUGCAGCGACGCCGCGUGAGCGAAGAAGUAUUUCGGUAUGUAAAGCUCUAUCAGCAGGGAAGAAAAUGACGGUACCUGACUAAGAAGCUCCGGCUAAAUACGUGCCAGCAGCCGCGGUAAUACGUAGGUGGCAAGCGUUGUCCGGAAUUACUGGGUGUAAAGGGUGCGUAGGCGGCUCAUAAAGUCAGAUGUGAAAUACCGAGGCUCAACCUCGGGGCUGCAUUUGAAACUUAUGGGCUUGAGUGAAGUAGAGGUAAGCGGAAUUCCUAGUGUAGCGGUGAAAUGCGUAGAUAUUAGGAGGAACACCAGUGGCGAAGGCGGCUUACUGGGCUUUAACUGACGCUGAGGCACGAAAGCAUGGGUAGCAAACAGGAUUAGAUACCCUGGUA
rnacentral:rRNA from 1 species